UUUUAUGGAGAGUUUGAUCCUGGCUCAGGAUGAACGCUGGCGGCGUGCCUAAUACAUGCAAGUCGAGCGAACGGACGAGAAGCUUGCUUCUCUGAUGUUAGCGGCGGACGGGUGAGUAACACGUGGAUAACCUACCUAUAAGACUGGGAUAACUUCGGGAAACCGGAGCUAAUACCGGAUAAUAUUUUGAA
rnacentral:rRNA from 1 species